rnacentral:rRNA from 1 species
GACGAACGCUGGCGGCGUGCCUAACACAUGCAAGUCGAACGGGGCCGGGGGCAACUCCGGUUCAGUGGCGGACGGGUGCGUAACACAUGAGGAACAUGACUUUCGGUGGGGGAUAGCCGGCCCAACGGCCGGGUAAUACCGCGUACGACCGCUCGGGGACAUCCCCGGUUGGUGAAAGCACAAUGCACCGAAAGAGUGCCUCACGGCCUAUCAUCUAAUUGGUGGGGUAAUGGCCCACCAAGGCGACGACGGGUAGCUGGUCUGAAGGAUGGCCAGACACAUUGGGACUGAGACACUGACCAACUCCUACAGGAGGCAGCAAUGGGGAAUAUUGCACAAUGGGCGAAAGCCUGACACACCGACCCCGCGUGUGGGAUGACGGCCUUAAGGUUGUAAACCACUGUCGGGAGGGACGAAUGCCCCACAAGGGGAGUGACGGUACCUCCAAAGGAAGCACCGGCUAACUCCAUGCCAACAGCCUCAGUAAUACCGAGGGUGCGAGCGUUGUCCGGAAUCACUGGGCGUAAAGGGCGCGUAUGCGGCCUGAUAACUAGGGGGUGAAAUCCUGCGGCUAAUGCGCAAGGCUGCGUUUUAAACUGUGAAGUGCAAUCACACUGAGCACGUGGAAUUCCCAGAGUAGUUGGAAUGCGUAGAGAUCGGGAAGAACAUCUGGCGAAGCGGCCUGCUGGGCUGUUGCUGACGCUGAGGCGCGACAGCGUGGGGAGCAAACAGGAUUAGAUACCCUGUAGUCCACGCCGUAAACGAUGGGCACUAGCGUCGGGGGAGCGACCCUCCCCGGUGCCUCCUCCAUGCCCCCGGGAGUAGCCCCAGGCUAACUCAAGAUUGACGGGGGCCC